rnacentral:sRNA from 1 species
AGGUUUGUGCCACCAUCACCUGGCUUGGUAUUCCACUUUCAAAGCAGUAAGUCAUCUCUGCAAGUUUGACUGUGAGACGGUCUCUAAGACAGAUCCAGCACCCAUCCCCAAGGAGUGUUGUUAGCUGUGAAGGCCUCAAGUCAAGCUCCUUCCCUUGAGAAAAAUCCUAUCAGGACAGGGUUAACCAUCUUAUAAUAAAUUUCUGCUUUGAGGCUUUCUUUGAAUCAAAGAACAGCUUAUGGAGACCUCAAGCAUCACAUGGUGGAAAUUAAAACAAAACAAAACAGAACAGGAAAACAAAAAUCCAACUUCAUUUGAUUAAUCGUACAGGUGGUUCAGAUGUUAUGAUUUUUCCUGAUAUAACUACAGUUUGCUGUUGAAAAUAUAUAUGUCUCUGUGCUAAGACUGAUGUGCUAUGAAAAUAAGUCCCUAGUACCUGUCAGCCUUCCACUGCGGUCCCACACAAACCACCUGCCAAUCACAGGAAGGGCCUAUCUGACAGGGAAAGUAAGACACCAGGAUCCAGAAAUUCCCGAUUAAACUGACAUCCCCCCAGAUCUCCCCUCACUUCCUUCCCCUGCUCAUGCGUCUAGCUUCCGGGGCUACUUGCUACCUGCAACACCCUGAGCAGGUCAUCAAGCCCCUCUGGCUUUGCUGCUCUCCAAAGGCCUGACCAAAAAGUGUAUCUCACUCAAGUUAUGUUAAGAAGCAAAAUGAGAAACUGGGUAUCAGAGAAGUAAGAACCAUGGAGCCCCACAAUUCUGCAAUAUGGUAGGAUGAUGAUUUCCUUUGUCACACAUAAUCAUAUACAUAUGUAUACGAACACAUUUUGUGAUAUUAAUAGUGUUGAAUACUUCUCUAAUGUGUCAAUCACGGGCUCUGCACCGAAACAUUCCAGAUUGGAAGCACUCAUUAACUGCUCCUCCCCCAGACUGCCACGGCUUUGCUGUCCUCUGCAGAGACCAAGCGGCAGUGGGUUUAUGGUGUCCUGACAGUGGGACUGGCUUUCCAGCAGGCUGGAUGCUUCUCAGGAGCAGAUAGAGUAUGUCACAAUCAGAAGGCCUGCUAUGAAUACCUGAGGAUCACGGAUUGGCUCAUGUCCAGCCUCAAACACAAUGUACUAUUGCAGGAGCAGCCAGAGAGGAAAAGGCAGAAAGAAAAAAAA